GGCCGCCUCGAGCGAGGCCCGUGCGCGGCGAGCGGGGGCGCGGCGCCCCCUGCGCCGGCUCCUGCCCCUCCGCGGCCCUGGCGGGGGUUGUUUAUGUUCGAGCCCCAGCGCCGGCUUCUGCGGUGGCGGCCGGGCGGCGUUGCUAACCGUACCUGGGCAGAAACUGCAAGUCACGGCCCUGCGUGUGCUUGACUUCCAAAAUUAAAAAAAAAAAAAAAAAUCACUUCCAGCGUUUAGGCUUUUGUUUUUACAAAAGCUUUCUUUUGAAACUCAAACGUGCGACUGCAAGCUAAAUUCUGGCAAUCUAGGAUUAGGGAAAACGAUAGAGUUUCUUUUCCUGGGCAGGUUCCUUCACAUGGAUUUCUACUAACCCUGCUUCUGCUGCGGGGUUGGGAAGAUGCUGUGCCUGAUUUAAAGUUUUAAAUUCAGUGAUGGAGCAUGUUCACGCUGGUAAGCGAACAGGAGGUACAAAUAAGGAGGAACCGAAUUCCAGGCCUGGAAGAAGACGGAAAGACGUUAAACUGCUCCCUGGUGCUGUGUACCACCAGCAGAACCAGUAUGAACAUUGAUAAAGAGUUCAGAAGGCUCAAACAGCGCUGGAGCAGGAAUGUCAUUCUGGACCUUAUUUCUUCUGUUGAAAGAAUAUGGAUAUCCACUGCUAUCUUUGAAGAUGUCAUUUACGUUCUCUCAUAGAAGUAUACUCUAACAACAUAGGUCCAUAUAAAAUAUUCUAUUACGUGUAGCAGUUGCCAAAUGGUGGAAUGUGUGUUUGGAAGGCUCAAGGCAAGAUGAUGUUUUCUUCAGAACUGUAUGGAGAACCAAAGUAUCCCCUGUAUAGUCACUAUGAAAUCAGAGGUAAGACUUUUUUUGUGUAGUAAAGCCUGGACACUGAUGGAGUCUGUAGAGAUCUUUGACUGGUGUAAGCAGUAUGGGCCCUGAGACAGGCAGGUUAAGGAAGUCAGAGUUGGCUCAUGUGCUCAAAUAACACCAUACAAAGAAGUUCUAGUGGAACUCAUUACUUUAUGAGUUGUGCAGUAGUUGGUAACAUGUUGUUGUCCCAGUUUAUGAAGUGGCUUAUUGCAGGCAUUUAUUUUAACUCUUAAGAUUCUCCUAGACUUUGUCAUUUUGUAUCCUUUUUUGCAGAAUCAUUCCCAGCAUGCCAUCCUUAUCAUAGCAUUAGCCACAUGUAUAAAAAUUAGAUGACUCCUGUUGUCAUUGGUGCAUUAUUGCUAAUGGGUGCUGAUAAGUCACCUUCAAGUAUGCUGCAAGGAGCUGUUGAAACAGGGAGACAUUUGCAUUAGGAAAUAGCUGCUUCUACUGUCUGGGUCCUGUUAGAAAGCAAUCAUUGGAGCUCCUAAGAUAACAUAGCCAUGUCAUAUAAAAAUGUCAUUAAUAUCCCUGUUACUUUUGUCAACAGCUAAGGAGAUGUUAAAGACUCUGAACAUAAUUGCUGUGUGUGUGCUUGGUGUGUGUUUGCUUGCAUAUUUUGACAGCAAUGGAUUAAACUGUUUUUGAUGUUA